rnacentral:rRNA from 1 species
AAAGACGGUCUUGCUGUCACUUAUAGAUGGAUCCGCGCUGCAUUAGCUAGUUGGUAAGGUAACGGCUUACCAAGGCAACGAUGCAUAGCCGACCUGAGAGGGUGAUCGGCCACACUGGAACUGAGACACGGUCCAGACUCCUACGGGAGGCAGCAGUAGGGAAUCUUCCGCAAUGGGCGAAAGCCUGACGGAGCAACGCCGCGUGAGUGAUGAAGGUCUUCGGAUCGUAAAACUCUGUUAUUAGGGAAGAACAUAUGUGUAAGUAACUGUGCACAUCUUGACGGUACCUAAUCAGAAAGCCACGGCUAACUACGUGCCAGCAGCCGCGGUAAUACGUAGGUGGCAAGCGUUAUCCGGAAUUAUUGGGCGUAAAGCGCGCGUAGGCGGUUUUUUAAGUCUGAUGUGAAAGCCCACGGCUCAACCGUGGAGGGUCAUUGGAAACUGGAAAACUUGAGUGCAGAAGAGGAAAGUGGAAUUCCAUGUGUAGCGGUGAAAUGCGCAGAGAUAUGGAGGAACACCAGUGG